rnacentral:lncRNA from 11 species
CAGAUAGAAAACGAAUCUUUCAGCUCCCCAGAGGGAAAAAUUUCUGCCCGCCUGAAUCUGGGAGGCUCCUGAAAAUGGAUCGAGGCCCCCACUGGAACCCGGGACACCAAAACAGAUUGCGGUUUACCCAGAUUGCAUAGGUCUAUACAUGAGAAUAUACAGUAGUGCCUGCCAUCCAAAGAUGAAAUUUCCUGAUGAUGAUGAUGAUGAUGAUGGAGAAGGAGAAGAUAUCCCAUAUUUUCCCCAGUUUGCAACUGGAUGUGACUUACAACAAUUAAAGCAAAGGCUGGAAACAUUGCUUGACUGA